AUUGAACGCUGGCGGCAGGCCUAACACAUGCAAGUCGAACGAGUGGCGGACGGGUGAGUAAUGUCUGGGAAAAUGCCUGAUGGAGGGGGAUAACUACUGGAAACGGUCGCUACUACCGCAUAACAUAGGAUGUGACCCGAUGGGAGUAGCUAGUAGGUGGGGUAACGGCUCACCUAGGCGACGAUCCCUAGCCGGUCUGAGAGGAUGACCAGCCACACUGGAACGGAUACACGGUCCAGACUCCUACGGGAUGCAGCAGUGGGGAAUAUUGCACAAUGGGCGCAAGCCUGAUGCAGCCAUGCCGCGUGUGUGAAGAAGGCCUUCGGGUUGUAAAUCACUUUCAGCGGGGAGGCGUUACCCGCAGAAGAAGCACCGGCUAACUCCGUGCCAGCAGCCGCGGUAAUUC
rnacentral:rRNA from 1 species